UUAAGAAUGAGCAUUAGACUUCCUCUCAUACUUCAACAAAUUAACAAGUAUAUCCAAACACAUUUGUACCUGAACUCCAUCCCAUAGCUUUUUAAGCUUGCUAUGACUCAAGUGAAGCUCUAUGAGCAUUUCAGCACAAAAGGUUGAUGGCAAAUACUCAAGACAGUAUCCUUCCCAUCGAAGAUACCUCAAUUUAUCAGAAAUCCACUCAAGACCAUCGGGAAAGUACACAUUGCACGUGUUUCCUCUAGAUUUAUUAUAGAUUUUAAGAUAUCUUAAAUUUGUCAUCCUUCUAAAGGAAUUAGACUUCAAGUAAAGAUCCCCCACAUCUGUACUAUCGAAUGUUAUCCCUUCGACAGCUUUAGUUCCCUGAUAAAAAUUAAAUUAAUAAUUAGGAAUGGUUGUCACGUAUACUUUCCUUGUUAUAUUUCAUAAUCAAAUACAUGUGUUAUUUUCAUGUAGAAGUGCUUGCAUCCUCUACUUACCUUGUUAUUUUUCAAUACAUCAGAAAUACAUCAGAUAUCUCAUCAGCUUUCCACAGUCGACUUCGUUUUCCAGGGUCUUCAGAUUCUUGAUUAACAAUUUCCCGUCCCAUUUCUUGUAACAAAUCAUGCAUUUCUAUAAUACAAACUUCCCAUUUGACAUGCAAAAUUGAACCUAGUUGAAUGAGAGCCUUAUCUAGAAGGACUUCUAUCCCACUUAUUGCAAAGAACUCACAAGCUUCCAAUAGAUCUCUUACAAAAGUUUUAUCUUUUCCAUUCAACAAGCAUGCGAUGUCUAGAAAUAUGGCCUUCUGACAAUGAUCUAAAUCAUCAUAACUCAAUUUUAACACAUCAUAAAUCUUUCGAUUGGGAAUCUUUUGGAGCUUUUUCAGUUCAUUUUCCCAUGCUUCUCGGCCCCUUGAACUGAGAUUUGCACCUAAAACUUUUAAAGCCAGAGGGUUACCUUUGCAAUAGGCAAUUACACUAUCUGAUAGAUCUUCAUAUCCAGUUUUAGGAUGUUUUUCUUUGAAGGCAAUCAAACUGAAUAGCUGAAGAGAAUCAGGCUUCUCUAAUUCCUUAACCUCAUAUAUUUCACAUUUACUCAACUGACUAAAUAUCUGCUUAUCUCUAGUUGUAAUAAUGACCCUACUACCUGGUCCUAGACCAUCAAUUUUUAGGAUAAGAUCUUCUAUUUGUUCUAAGGUUUCUACACCAUCCAAAACAAUUAAAACUUUUUUACGCCCAAUCCUUCUCUCGGAGAAAGGGGCUUCUAUGUAGGAUGCAUCAGGAUGAAUAUUUUCUUCCUCUAACAAUGAAGACAGAAGUUUAUUGUGUAGAACAUUGAGUCCAUACUUGUUUGAUUCAUCCAUUACAUUGAGGACGCAACGACCUUCGAAUUGGGAAAAAUGUUUAGCAUAUAAUGUCUUAGCAAGGGUGGUCUUUCCUAUCCCACCCAUGCCCCAUAUUCCAAGUACUCUGACUUCAUUUGACCCAAUUUUCAGCAUUGAUUCAAUUUGUUCGUAAUUUUUCUCAAUUCCAACAAGCCCCUUAAUUUCAUAUGGGUACCUAAUAUUCAGUUUCCGCAAAACAUCUUCAACAAUGUCUUUAAUGAAGUCUGGUUCACUCCUAACAUAUGAAAGAUGGGAAGAAUGUUUUACAACAAAAGAAAAAUGCAUUCAUAUAUAUGAUUAGGACAUAAUAAAAUUUAUAUUCAACAUGGUGGCAGAGUAGAGCACAUAAAGAAAAUCAAUUACGUAAGACACAGAAGAUAAUUAAUGUCUUAUUUUUUUAGGAAGUGAAAUCCUAAAGAAAAUUCCAAAAAAUUGUAUAGAUUUUAAAAAAAUUGUAUGAUAACUAUGGCCAGGCACAUCAACAUCAUUGUUUACUUUCUAAAGUUAUUAUUAGCUUUCAUUUUCUCAAAUUUAUGUUCAUUUCCAAUCACGAAUAUGGAAAUGAAAAACUUGUGUAGUAAAAAAUUGUGCUAUAUUAGAAAACAAAACUUGCAAAUCAUAGGAUAUAGUUUAUUGAUUUACUUAGGAUAGUUCGUUUUACUUACCUAUAAUUUCGAGAGUCCCAACCAACCAAAUUAGCUGCCUCGGUGAGAGAAUCUUUCCAUUUCUUCAACUUGUCAUUAUUGUGCUUCAAAUCUUGCUUAUGUUUUGCAAAGGCUUGCUUGUAACUCCCGGUCUGCUUCCUCACAUGUGAUGGAUCUAUGUUGUAAAAAACUGGUAUCACAAUCUGUUGCAUAUAUUUCUUGCAUUCAAGAAUCUUUUUGAGCUCAUUCAAGCACCAUUUUGAGGAAGCAUAGUUUUCUGAGAAGAUGACAAUAGAUGCAUGUGACUCCUCAAUGGCUUUGAUGAGUGCUGCCGAGAUCUCAUCUCCUUUUCGAAGCUCAUUGUUGUCUAUAAAUGUUUCAACUUUCUUUCGGCUCAAAGCAUCAUAAAGAUGGCUAGUGAAGUUUCUGCGAGUAUCCUCACCUCGAAAGCUAAGAAAAACGUCAUAUUUUUUCUGAGGCACCACAUCAGAAGAAACUAUAGAGGAAAAGGCACUGCUCAUUUUCGGCACGGCAGUUAUGAAUUCCAAGUGCCUGCACUGAUUAGGCCACUAAUCACAAUGCUACAAUAAAAAAGAAGUAAUGUUUAAUUAGAGAAAGUAGUAGAUAAAUUAAAAUUGAGGGAAAAAAGAUUAUACGUACCAAAGUCAGAAUCCAGCUUCAUGCAAUAGAGGAGAAGAAUACUGUAAAAGUUAUAAUCCAGCUUCCGGAAUUAAUUUUGGAUGAGCACACACAAACUCUUCAUAAUGCUUUGGUUGGUCAUGAUGUAUAUUGUAUAUAGAUGUAAUGUGUGGUUAUCCUUCAAGGAAGUUUCGUUUGCUUAAACAUUGUGUUUGGUAGAGGUGAUUUAUGAGAGAGAAAUAGGUGAGAGAGAGAGAUACAAGAGAAAUGUUGUAUUUCUUCAGUUUGCUAAUAUUAUGUUUUAAAAAAUAAUUUGUUAGUUGUCAUUAACUAUUCUGUUAUCAUUUGAAUAGGAGGAAUAUGACCGACAACUUGCCGAGGCUCUUUCUAAAGGGUUAACUGUUGAUCAUAGUUUGGCCCUCCAAAUUUGGACCAAAGUUGCUGGCGAUAAAACCAAAGGAAAAUUAUAUGGUGCCGGUAACUUGACCGCUAACUACCGGAAGGGUGUUGCAACAACCCUCAGAUUUACCCUUAAUCAUGGCGAAGGAUCCUCCCAGCAGCCUGCACUGACCCCUGAGAUGCAUGACCUUAUUCAAAGAUUGACUCAAGAGCAGCUCACCCAGCAAAUGGCGAGACAUGAGGCCGUUGUACAAGAUUUGCUUAGCCGCCAACGAACAUAUGAGGAGCAACUGGCUCAAUUUCGGCAAGCACAUGAGGAUGGGAAUUCAAGUCAGCAAGCGUCAGUUCCAGAUCCCAAUGUAGAGCCUUUUCCAAUUUAUGGCGAAGGUGGAAGCGAAGGAAGCAAGGAGAUUGAGAGCGAUGAUGAGGAGUGAAGUUGGACCCUUAUGAUGUGUUCAUGCAUGUUAUUUUAUUUUGCUUUUAUUAUCUAUGGUGUGUAAUAUUUGGGAAAGUUUGUUAUGCUUCGUGAUACAAUUGCUACUUAUUUGCUACUUAUGGUCUAUAACAUUAUUCCCUAUGAUUUUAAUUUCAUUACUGUUGGACUUAAUAUUUUGUGGGUGCUAUUACUUUAAUUUUUAUUCUUAACUACUUAUUUUAAAGCAAUUAAAUUAAAAAAACCAUGUGUUUUAAAUUAUUUUAAAUGAUUUUAAAAUAAUGAAAUUAAAAAAAGCAAUUUAAAAUCGUUUUUAAAUUUAUUUUAAUAAUUAAUUUUAAUUAUUUUAAUGAAAUUAACGUUUUUAAAAAACAAUUAAAAACCAUUUUUUAAAAAAAUUAUCUCUGCAAUUUGCCAGGGGUAUACCCCUUGCAAUACUCCUGUCAUAUUUUGGGUCAGACUGCAGCUGAUUGACAGCGCGUAAGUUCUGCAGUGCGUCAGAAAAGCCUGCAGUGCGUCAGGUAAGCAGGUUGUUGAGUCAGACAAUUAGUCAGGGCCCUGCCAGGGGUUUUUCCAGGAGUUAUAAGAGGGGUUUAGACAGGAGUGUGUCCCACGCAGAUUUGCAGCCCUGGCAUAGCAAUUUGCUAUGAGCGCAUUUGCCACUGAUUCAACUCCUCACAAAAGCCCUGGCAAAUGGCUUUUUCCCAGGGAUUCUUGCAAUUUCACAAGGAAUCCACCCCUGGCUAAUUGCAGGAUUUCUUGUAGUGUUCAAUUGUUUUUCUCUGCUAUUCUCCCUUGUUCAUAAUUGUGGUUCAAAGUACCAAAGGGAAUGGAUUAGGUAUGACAAUUUAUCAUUAAAUAUUCCAAUUUAAUAAAUGACACAUGUUGAACAUUAUUUGUUGCAUUACUUAAUAACUCUCGGAUGCCAUGCCUCAAAACACAAAUGAAUCAAAUGAUGGUAGUAUUUGGCAAAUAAUUUAUAAUAAUAUCUAGAACGAAAUUUGUUUCUUUAAUUAAUAAGACCUCCAUUGCUGCAAGUGGCAAAGUACUUGGAUCAAUUCAUUGGUUCAGGUUGUAAGGCAUUUGAUCCUUUUUAGCAAGUGAUCAAAGGUUUGAUCUCUGACUCUUGUAUAUGAAAAAAAGAAUCCAAUUAGAAGUAGAGAACUCAUCUUGUAUAUCUCACGGGUUCUCUGACGCAGAUUAAUCACCGCUAAAAUUCUUGUGUUUCUUAUCAACAUUUUCUCAUAACAAUAAGCAUUUUCCAUCAUGUUAAGUCCUUUUCUAUUUAAAAAUGAUCUGCAAUGCUAGGGAGAAUGAUAGAUGGUAAGAAACAUGGAAGUUCCCAACUUCCAAAAGAUCCUACUGAAAGGCAAUAAAUAAGCCUAUGGGUGCUCAAAUAUUGUUCUGAAUGAAAGCAAGUUGAUUACCAAAUAAACUACCCUCCCCAAGUGGAUAGCAUAGGGGCAAGUUCCCAAAUUCAAAUACAUGAAACUAGGAUUAUGUUAAUGAAUACCGAUGUGAUUACUGCAAAACGAAGAAGAACGACAAGUCAUUUAGUUACAAAGCAGAUGUUUGAAGAAAGAGGAGUUCAAGUACCAAGAAACACAACAGAAAACAACUGCAUAAAUUUAGGAAGUUUUCUGCCAUGGUAAAAGUAACAAGCAACCUAUCAUUGCACAGCUUGAUAUCACCAGUCUACUGCAUCAACACAUACUGUUGAGUGAAUGUAAUGAUGUUGUGCUCAUUUUACUUGGGAAACAGGAGAAAGAGACCAAAAAACAUUUCUGACUUCUAUUAUUCUUUUGAUCGUUUUAACAAGUGCCUCAUCAAAGAACCUGUCCAAUGUUAUUGCAACAAGACGAAUAUUAUUUUCUAGAAUCACAAGAUUUUUGAAACAAUUCUUCAUUUUGAAGAUUUUUCAAUUAAAAAAAAAACUAAUAUGGAAUGUAUAACUAGAGAGUGGGUUUUGAGUUUCAUACCUAUUGAACAAGAAGGUUGUUCUUGGUAUUCUUCAUUAUCAUUGUUAGAGCUUCCGACUUCACCUUCAAUUUUUCUUGGCUGUCAUCAAUAUCAUUUUUCAAAUCAAAAUCAAAUUCACCAGAGUCCUGAGCACUGGAUUUUAAUUUUGAUUUAACUAUUUCCUCACGACUACUACUUAUAACAUACAGCUCCGACUCACUUUUCAAGUCAUAUACAGGUAAGACUCCACACCCCUUUAUCCCCUCUGUUGACCACCACAAUUGUUCCUUUUGACCUUGAAGUAGGAACUGAAAUGAUAGGUUGCAAAAGUCAUGACUUCCAGUUUCUUGUUUGUUGUAACCAUUCCAGCAUAUCAAUACAUGAUCUGAAAUUAAUGUCCCAAGAUAUUUGCAACUAAUACGACAUCUGUCGACUUCUUUGCCAAAGUUGCAUGCAACUUCUACACCUGACAAGAGAGAAAAAUGACGAACACCAUCUUCAUCAGGAGUGUCUUUAGAGAAAGUUCGUACCAUGUUCUCAAGCAAUAACCGUUGAGUGGAGUUCAUAUCCAGAUAAUUGCAGUUAACAGCUGUCAAAUAUAACAGGGAUGCUGGAAGCUCUGCUAGAGACACAAGUUUCCUGCAAUCAUCUAAAUCAAGCCAUUUUAGGAUUGAAUGGUUUUGGAUAUUCUCGGGGAGACUUUCUAAGUUGCAGCACUCAUUCAAUAUUAGCUGUUUUAAAGAUUGUAUGCCAUCAAGGAUGGACCAAAGACUUAAUGCAUUGAUUUCUGUGCACCCUGAAAGGUCUAGCUUUGUAACAGACCACAGUCCAUGAUCAUCUCUUAACUUAUUCCCAACAAUUUUAAGCUUGUUACACUCAGAUAGGCCAAGCCAAGUAAGUUUGCUAUUGCGCCAAAUCGAUGAAGACAAUUCACGUAUAGCAGUGCCGCCUAAGGUCAACUCUGUCAUUUCCUCCGAUGUCACCAAAAAUUCUGUGAGAGUUGAACAACCAUCGAGUAAGAGUUCACGAAGAGAUUUUGAAUGAAUGUUGGUUUUAAGGCUUUCAAUCUUUUUGCAACCUCGUAAAUCUAGAUAUCUAAGAUCAGGGAGACAGAAGAUGGAAGGAUGGAGCUGACACAGGCUUUCACAUUGAAAAACACUCCAUGAAGAUUUGUAUCCUUAGAUAAGUCUGGGAUCUCAAUCAGAUCUUUGGAGGAUUCAAGCCGGAGUAUGUUUAGAUUCACAAGAUUCUGUAACAAUAAAUAAACAUGACAUUGCUUAGAAACCAUUAAAUCCAUAAUUAAGCAUAAAUAGAGACUUCUUAAGAAUGUGCAUCAGACUUCCUCUCAUACCUAAAUAAAUUAACACGUACGUAUAUCCAAACACAUUUGUACCUGAACUCCAUCCCAGAGCUUUUUAAGCUUGCUAUGACCCAUGUGAAGCUCUAUGAGCAUUUCAGCACAAAAGGUUGGUGGCAAAGACUCAAGGCAGUAUCCCUCCCACAUAAGGAACCUCAAUUUAUUAGAAAGCCACUCAAGACCGUCGGGAAAGUGCACAUUGCAUGUUCUCCCAUUAGAUAUAUUAUAGAUUUUAAGAUAUCUUAAGUUUGUCAUCCUUCUAAAGGAAUCAGACUUUAAGUAAAGAUUCCCAACUUCUGUACUAUCAAAUGUUAUACCUUCCACAACUCCCGUUCCCUACCAAACAAAAAUCAGAUUAUUAAUUAGGAAAGGAUGUAAUAAAUGUUUGCUUGUUAUAUUUCAUAACCACAAACAUGUGUUUUCAUAUGGAAGUAAUUGCAUUGUCUACUUACCUUGUUUUUUUUCAAUACAUCAGAUAUUUCUUCAGCAUUCCACAAUCGACUUCGUUUUCCAGGGUUCUUAGAUUCUUGAUUAACAAUCUCUCGUCCCAUUUCUUGUAACAAAUCAUGCAUUUCUAUACCAUCAACGUCCGACUUGACAUAAACAUGCCAUAUUUUUUUUAGUUGUAUGAGAGAUUUAUCUAGAAGGACUUCUAUCCCACUUACUGCAAAGAACUCACAAGCUUCCAAAAGUUUUCUUACGAAAGAUUUACUCUCUUCUCUCAGCAAGCAUGCGUUGUCUAGAAAUAUGGCCUUUUGACAACAAUCUAAGUCAUCAUAACUCAAUUUUAAUACAUUGUAAAUUUUCGUAUUGGGAAUCUUUUGGAGCUUUUUCAAUUCAUUUUCCCAUUCAUCUUUGCCUCUUGAACUCAGAUUAGCACCUAAAACUUUUAAAGCCAGAGGAUUGCCUUUGCAAUAGGCAAUUACACUCUCUGAUAGAUCUUCAUAUCCAAUUUUAGGAUGUUUUUCCUUGAAGACAGUCAAACUGAAUAGCUGAAAAGAAUCAUGAUUAUUCAAUUCCUUAACCUCGUAUAUUUCACAUUUACUGAACUGACUAAUUAUGUGCUUAUCUCUAGUUGUAAUAAUGACCCUACUACCGGGUCCCAGCCCAUCAAUUUUUAGGAUAAAAUCUUCUAUUCUCUCUAAGGUUUCCACGCCAUCCAAUACAAUUAUAACUUUUUUAAGCGCAAUCCUUCUUUCGGAGAAAGGGACUUCUAUGUAGGGUGCAUCAGGAUGAAGAUUUUCUUCCUAUAACAAUGAAGAUAAAAGUUUAUUGUAUACAACAUUGAGUCCAUACUUGUUUGAUUCAUCCAUUACAUUGAGGAAGCAACGACCUUCGAAUUGGGAAUAAAGUUUAGCAUAUAAAGUCUUAGCAAGGGUUGUCUUUCCUAUGCCACCCAUGCCCCAUAUUCCAAGGACUUUAACAUCAUUUGACCCAAUUUUCAGCAUUGAUUCAAUUUGUUUAUAAUUUUUCUCAAUUCCAACAAGACCCUUAAUUUCAUAUGGGUAUCUAAGAUUUAGUUUCCUUAAAACAUCUUCAACAAUGUCCUUAAUGAAGUCCACUUCAAUCCUUGCACAUGAAGGAAGGAAAGGUCUUACAAGUCUAACAAAUACAAUAGAAGAAAAAUACAUCUAUAUGAUUAGUAUACAAAUUUGUAGUCAACAUGGUGGCAUUAACAUCUAUUUUUUCUACGAAGUGAAAUCCUAAAGAAAUUCCAAAAAAUCAAAAAUCAAAAAAAGGUUUUUAUGCUACCCAAACGAUAAGAUGAUGUAUUCUUUGUAUUUAGAUUUAAGAGUAUCAAUUGAGUGAUAAGUGUAUGCAGGGUACAAGAAUAUGUUGACUUUGAAGACUCCUACCCUCUUCCCAAUAGUAAAUAACUGUGCUAUAUUAGAAUACAAAACAUGCAAAUGAUAGGAAAUAGUUUAUUGAUUUUACUUUGAAUUUUGGAAACAUACAAGUGAUGAACAUAUCCAAAGCUGGAUAGUUUGUUUUAUUUACCUAUAAUUUUGAGAGUCCCAUCCAACUAAAUUAGCUGCCUCAGUGAGAGAGGCUUUCCAUUUCUCCAACUUGGCAUUAUUGUGCUUCAAAUCUUGCUUAUGUUUUGCAAAGGCUUGCUUGUAACUCCCGGUUUGCUUCCUCACAUGUGAUGGAUCAAUGUUGUAAAAAAUAGGUAUCACGAUCUGUUCCAUAUAUUGCUUGCAUUCUAGAAUCUUUUUGAGAUCAUUCAAACACCAUUUUGAGGAAGCGUAGUUUUCUGAGAAGAUGACAAUAGACACAUGUGACUCCUCAAUGGUUUUGAUGAGUGUUGGUGAGAUCUCAUCUCCUUUUUGAAGGUCAUUGUUGUCUAUGAAGGUUUCAACUUUCUUUCGACUCAAAGCAUCAUAAAGAUGGCUUGUGAAGUUUCUGCGAGUAUCCUCACCUCGAAAGCUAAGAAAAACGUCAUAUUUUUUCGGAGGCCCCACAUAAGAAGAAGAUAUAGAGGAAAAAGCACUGCUCAUUUUCUGCGCGGCGGUUAUGAUUUCCAAAUGCCUGCACUAAGCCACUAAUCACAAUGCUACAAUAAAAAAAAGUAUUGGGCUUCAUAAAUUUGAUUAUCAUUUGGAAUCAUUUUUGGCAGCAUAACAAAAAGAAUGGCAACAUUCAAAGCGAGCCUAACAAAAAUAAGGCAAAUUCUAUAUUACACCCAAUAUAUUUGAGUGUAUCGGUACAUCCACUCUUUAAAUUAAUAGUUAAAUGAGUUUUUUUUUGAAGAAAAAUAUUAUUUUUUAUCAUUUAUUAUUAUAAUAACUAAAUCUUAUUCAUAAAAAAUAUCAACAAAAUAAAAUUAUUAUUUUUUGAAUUUUUAUUGCUCAUAAUUUAUAACAUUUAUUAUUUUUUACGAUAAUAUGUAAAAAAAAAUACUAUGAUUGUCAUAAACAAUGAAAUGAUUUUUUUUUUUUUUAUGAACUGAUGUUAUAUAAAAUAUAACUAUUGACAAAGAGCUAUUUAUUACAUAAAAAAUUAUCGUUAAUUUAUAAAAUUAUGAAGAAGGAGUACCGGUACACCUCACUUUGUGAGUGUACCGUAGAAGUUUCCCAACAAAAUAAUUACAAUAAUAUAGAUGAAUGUCUUGAGACAAUUUAUUUUUGGCGAUUACUUUCUCCACCCUAUAAGGUUCUCACACGUCCUUUUUUUUUUCUUUCCAAAUUGCCCCUUAGAUUUUAGAAAAUGAAAACCAAUUCCAAAUAUAAAUUCCGAAACAUUUCGCUUUAUAAAAGCAAGAUCAGCAACUUCCACCAUUUUACAGUUUUAGUUUUACAAUUUCACUUUCUCUCUCUCUCUCUCACCGAUCCCAUAAUCCUAAAAUAUUGGUCCAAUCUUUGAGUUUUUUUUGCUCAAAAUCAUCACAUUUGAAGCUUUAUCAAACCCCAUAGUGAAGGUUAGGUCUCAUUCCAUCUGCAUACAAGCCUUUGAGUUCGAAUAUUUUUUUUGUGGCAACUGAAUAUGUUUGGAUUAUAAAAUCCAAACUGGAUUGUUGAAGUUCAGAUUUUAUAAUCUGAAGUGUACCUGUAGGCAGAUUUUUGGACAAUUUUGUGGAUUUAUAUUGAUUGCGUUUUACCUGGUUAUGCAUGUUACAAGCAUGGAUCGUGUUGGGCGCACCGUGGGUGAUGGAGAAGCAAUGCAUGUUUAUGUUUGGAGAGAGCGUUUGGAGAGGUUGCAAGCGGAGGGGAGAGUGCCCAGGCGUGGCAAGGGCAGGGAAAGGGCACGCCGUGGUGAUGCUGAUGGCGAGGGAACAUCUCAGGGGAACUAUAUUGAGCUUGAGCCACAGAGGGAGAUAAGAGAAGGUGGAGGGUGAUGUUGAGCAACAGGAGGAGGGUGAUGAAGAGCAGCAUGAGCGUGUGCAGCCAAAGCCAAAGGAGCUUGAUCACUAUCUUGGUGGCCCACACGACUUGACUGUGCUGACCAAGUACCAUGUUCACGUGGUCAGGAUGGCAGUUGAUGAAGUGGUAAGACACUGCACCUUUAAUUUAAUGAAAAUUGAAUUUUUAUGUUUAAUUAAUAAUAAUUGUAAACUUUUUGUUAAUUUUUGUCAUGUAUUAUUUCGAUUACUGUGAAACUGAUGUUAAUUUUUUGUUUUAAAUUUUAGCAGUGCGGUGACAAUUUAAAAUGUGUAAACAACAGGAAGAAGAUAGAAGCGAUACAUAAACCAAAGGUUUAAAUGUAUUUCAUCCUUGCAAUUAAGGGUCGUUUAAAAAUUGGUCCCUGUAUUCGCUAAUCCUUGCAAACUAGCCUUGCAAUAAUUAAUCAUUUAAAAUUUCGUCCUUUGACCAACUUAAUCACUGCCACGUCACUAAUUUGAUGACGUGGCAAUCACUAUCACACAUGAAAUUCCAAUUUUUCUCUUAAGAAGAGGACAAAAUAUUGAAGAAAGAAUUAGAAACUCAGGGGUAAAAUUGGAAUUUCAUGUGUGACAGUGAUUGGCACGUCAUCAAAUUAGUGAUGUGGCAGUGAUUAAGUGGGGAGAGGGACGAAAUUUUAAAUGAUUAAACAAUGCAAGGGUAAAUUGCAAGGAUUAGCGAUUACAGAGACCAAUUUUUAAACGACCCAUAAUUGCAAGGAUGAAAUACAUAUUUAAGCCUAAACCAAACAAGACUCUGAUGGCAAGACUGUGUGGUUUAAGCAUGGGCUGAAAGUCACUGGUCUUCGGUGGCUGCAGGAUAUCAGCUACAGCCAGAUUGAACACGGGCUUUGUUCUGCAAUUGUGGAGAGAUGGCACGAGGAGACAUCGAACUUUCAUCUUCCGUUUGGGGAUAUGAUAGUGGCACUGGAUGAUGUGUCAUGUUUGCUGCAUCUCGCCAUCGAGGGUAUGCUCUUGUCCUAUGAAAGUAUGUCAAGGGGUGAUGUUGUUGAGUUGUUGAUGGAAUUGUUGAGGGUUGAUGCGGGCGAGACAUGGACCGAGGUGGAAAAGAAAAAAGGUGGACAUGCACGGUUUAACUUCUUGAAGGAUAUAUACUUUCAAGGAGCAUGUUCGGGAGGCACAUGAGGUCUACCAUGCUGGUCAGUUUGUUGAGAUGCAGCAGCGGGAGUAUUUUCCAACAGAAGGUAUGGCCUAAACUAAUUUUAUCAAUUUAUUUAUUUCAAAUUCUAUGAUCAAUUUGAAAAUGACCUAUGUAAUUAGAGAAACUAGCAGUUAAAUUAAAAUUGAGGGAAAAAAGAUCAUACCAAAGUCAGAUCAAUCCAGCUUCAUGCAAUAGAGGAGAAAAAGACAGUAUGGCUUAGCUUCUGGUGGAAUCAAAUUUGGAUGAAAAUUAAUUAAGGAUAAACACACACAAACACUUCAUAAUGCCUUGGUCCUGAUGUAUAUACAUGUAAUGGGUCAAAUUUAAAAUAUAAAAUAACAAGUGUGGCUUAGCUUGCUUCCUUUUUGAUGGAGACUACUAGAUAAACUAUGGAAUUGGAUUUCAGAUUAAAAUAUAUGCAAAAUUAAGCUUGUUGUCCUUCAAUUUUGAGUCAUUUUUCAGAUUAUACCUAUUCACGUAUGUAAACACAAGUUAAUUACAAUAGGUGAGUUGCUGAGUGAAAUGUCUUAGGUGCAAUUCCAAGAACAAUUAGAUUAUACCUAUUAAGCUUGUUGUCCUUUAAUUUUGACUAUUUUUCAGAUUAUACCUUUUAGUUUUUCUUUCUUCCUUGAAUAGUUUCUUCAAAUAUUUAUAAUUACCAACAGAAGGUAGAGCCUUGGACUUAUACAAUAUAUAAGUGGCUUAGAUGUAUUCUUGUCUUUCGUUGGUCUAUGAAAUCGUAAAAACAAACACUUUCGUAUAUUUAAUUAAAUUUAAAGGUAAAGUAAAACAUUAAAUUAAUUUUAAAAUCCCUCCCCUCGUGAACCACAUCAAUUAAUGUUUUUAUUUUUUGUGGAAUUUCUAAAUGUUUUAAUUGAUUAGUUUUUUUUUUAAAGAAUGUUUUGAUUGAUUAGUUGUGUAUGUACAAAGCUGUUUUAGACCGUCGACUCGUUAAUCUUAAACCCUUAACAAAAACUGAUUUAGACCGUCGACUCGCUAAUCAAACCAAGUAAUUAAAUUAAAAAAUUACUUUCUGUUGGAGAAAAGAUACUAUUUGGAAUAUGCAUUGGAAAUAAUGAGUAGCAGAGAGAUUACAAACACUAUAUUAUUUUGUGGGAAAACCAAGAUCUUUGAUCUGUAUCAUUUAAAAAGGAAAGACCAUUAACAGAACCAUUAUUAUUCUUCUUAUCUUUAUUUCUUAUGACUCAAAAUCAUGAAACUCAAGUAGCUACUGCAAUAGGGAGAAAAAGAGGAAGAAGACCGACAAUUCAUUUAAUGACGAAGCAGAAGAUGUUAGAAGAAAGCAGCAUUGCUAUCUUCAAUGAUCAAGAACAUUGACACUGUGAUGUGAUCCUAAAAUUCUCUCUCUUGACAAGAAUAAUAAAGUCAUUGUAGAAUAAAAGAACCAAAUUAAUUUUGGGUUCAAAGUUUUAUUUUCGUAGGUCAUUAUAUGUCUGUCUUGUUUUGGCUAUAUCUGGAGCUCUGGAUAUCCGUUUGAGGUGAUCUUUAACUCGUUGGAAAGCUUACGAAAUUCUCUACAUUUCAUCUGUUUGAUUCAAGAGCAAAUUCGGAAUAUUUAAUGGUGCAGAAUGAGCUGUAGGUAGAAGACGUGGUUAAAGUAUGUUAGCUGAAGAAUUAAAGGUGGUGUUUGUGGAAUUGUAACGUCUAGCCAUAAUAAGCCUUCACAAAUCAAUGUGCAAAUGAAUAUGUAACCUUCUCAUGCAUUGAUCAACCACCAACUUUAAAGAUCCAAUUAAAUUGUAACCUCUUUUGUAAUAACUAGCCACCUAGGAAUUAUAACACUAAUUAUGCUAUGAUUGUAAGUUUUUCAGCUUCCAAGCCUAUUUCCUAUAAAAAGGGGGCGAAAAUAAUGAAGGGGACAAGUUGAAUUUAAAAAAAAUAAAAAAUAAAUAGAGAAUUUUAGGAUCACAUCACACUGCUAAGGAAAAUGAAUGGGGAUCUUUACACAAAAUUAUGAAACGCUGCAAACCUGGUUAUAGCUGACUACUUAUACCAACAAUAAAAACAGGAUCAGAUUGAUUAAUACCAGCAAUCACAGCACAGAACUGCUGAAUAAAAUUAGGAAUACUUCUGCAAAGGUAUAAAUUAUAAAGUUUAAAUAUGCCUUUAGUCCUUGCACUUUUAUCAGAUUUUGGCAUUGGUCCCUACACUUUUUUUUGUUUGGAAUUGGUCCCUGCACUUUGUAAAAAUAUUGGUAUUGGUCCCUGCACUUUGUAAAAAUAUUGAUAUUGGUGCCACGUGGCGUGAAAUGAUUGGGCCACGUGGCACUCCGUUGAUUUUGUGUUUUUUUUUUUAACAGAAAGUUAACAGGGGGUCAAUACCAAUAUUUUUACUAAGUGCAGGGACCAAUGCCAAAAUCUGAUGAAAGUGUAGGGACCAAUGACACAUUUAAACCAAAUUAUAAUUAGCACAACGUAUCAUUGCACUUAGGCAUUUAAAUGAUGAAUUUAAUACCAGUCUACUGCAUCACCGAAUCUUUCUGAAUGAAUGCGAUGAUGUUGUGCUUAUUGUAUUUGAGAAACAGGAGAAAGAGAUUACAAUAUUUCCGACUUGUAUUAUUCUUUUGACCCUCUUAGCAAGUGCCUCAAAAAAAGACCUGCCCAAUAUGUUGUUUCAGCAUAAAGUUAUUGCAAUACACCGAGCAUUAUUCACUUGAAGGAUUAAAAUUUUCUAUUAAAUAAAAAAUAUUGAAUCUAUAAUUAUAAAGUCGGUUAAAACUUCAUACCGAUUGAACAAGAAGGUUGUUCCUCUUUGCAUGAAUAGGAAGGUUGUUCCUGGUUAUCUUCAUUUUCAUUGUUAGAGCUUCUGACUUCACCUCCAAUUGCUAUAGACACAUCAGAGUCUUGAGCAAUGGAUUUUAAUUUACCAAUUUCCUUACUAAUGAUACUGCUACCACCACCUUCCAACUCACGUUCUAAGGCAUAUACAGGUAUGACCCCACACCCUUUUAUCCCCUCUGUUGACCACCACAAUUCUUCAUUGGGACCUUGAAGUAUGAAUUUAAAUGAUAAGUUACAAUCAUAACUUCCACUUUCUUGUAUGUUGUAACCAUGCCAACGCAUCAAUACAUGAUCUGAAAUUAAUGUCCCGAGAUAAUUGAAUCUAAUGCGACGUCUGUCGACUUCUUUUCCGCAUUCAAAGAUAAUACAAUGAAGGACAUGGUGGUUAACAGUGAAGCCCUCAGAAAAAAGGAUGCAAAAUAUGAAACCACACAAGUCAGAUUUAGCAAUAGGAAGAAUAGUUAUUGAAGCCUUGAUUGUCUGAAAAUCAAAAUUUAAUGGAAUUUGUGCUCCUGGCAUGAAAGAGAAAGGACGGAUAACACCUUCAUGUUCAAUAGAAGGGUCUUCACAGAACUUUUGUGCCUUGUUCUUAAUCAAUGAAAAUUGUGUGAAGUAUGUGUCCAGAUAUGUGCAAUUAACGGCUGUUAAAUAAAACAGGGAUGGCGGAAUCUCUGUUAGAGACACAAGUUUCCUGCAAUUGUCUAAUUCAAGCCAUUCUAGCAUUGAAUGGUUUUGUAUGUUCUUAGGGAGACAUUCUAAGUUGCAACACUCAUUCAAUUUUAGCCGUUUUAAAGAUUGUAUGCCAUCAAGGAUGGACGACAGACUUAUUGCAUUGAUUUCUGUGCACCCAGAAAGGUCUAGCUCUGUAACAGACCCCAGUCCAUGAUCAUCUGUUAACUUAUUCCCAACAAUAGUAAGCUUGUUACAUCCAGCUAGGUCAAGAACAGUAAGUUUGGUAUUAUGCCAAAUCGAUGAAGUCAAUUCAUGUAUAGAAGUGUCACGUAAGGAUAAUUUUGUCAUUUCCUCCGAUGUCACUGAAAAUUCUGUGAGAGAUGAACAACCAUUGAGUAAGAGUUGACGAAGAGAUUUUGAAUGAAUGUUUGUUUUAAGGCUUUCAAUACUUAUGCAACCUCUUAAGUCUAGAUAUUGAAGUUGAGGGAGAGAAAAGAUGGAUGGAUGGAGUUGACGCAAGCUUUCACAUUCCGAGAGAAGUACAACAACAAGAUUUGUAGCCCUAGAUAAGUCUGGGAUCUCAAUCAGAUCUUUGGAGGAUCGAAGCCAAAGUGUUCUUAGAUUCACAAGAUUCUGUAACAAGAAAUAAACAUCCAUGAGUGUUGAUUAAAAGAGAAACAAAACCUAGUUAAACAUAAAGAGAAACAUCCUAGCUCUGCUGCAAUUUAGUGAAAAACAUUUGUACCUGAACUCCAUCCCAGAGCUUUUUAAGCUUGCUAUGACUCAUGCAAAGAUAUACAAGCAUUUCAGCACAAAAGGUUGAUGGCAAAGACUCAAGACAGUAUCUUACCCAUAGAAGAUACCUCAAUUUAUCAGAAAUCCACUCAAGACCGUCAGGAAAGUACACAUUGCCU
rnacentral:lncRNA from 1 species